CCUACGGGUGGCAGCAGUGGGGAAUAUUGCGCAAUGGGCGCAAGCCUGACCCAGCAACGCCGCGUGAAGGAAGAAGGCUUUCGGGUUGUAAACUCCUUUUCUUAGGGACGAAGCCAGCGACGGUACCUGAGGAAUAAGCCACGGCGAACUACGUGCCAGCAGCCGCGGUAAUACGUAGGGGGCAAGCGUUAUCCGGAAUUACUGGGUGUAAAGGGUGAGUAGGCGGCAUGGUAAGCCAGAUGUGAACUCCUUGGGCUUAAACCGAGGAUUGCAUUUGAAACUAUCAAGCUAGAGUACAGGAGAGGAAGGCGGAAUUCCUGGUGUAGCGGUGAAAUGCGUAGAUAUUAGGAAGAACACCAGUGGCGAAGGCGGCUUUCCGGACUGAAACUGACGCUGAGGCACGAAAGCGUGGGGAGCGAACAGGAUUAGAUACCCGAGUAGUC
rnacentral:rRNA from 1 species